rnacentral:lncRNA from 1 species
AUCCUACAUUUAAAGAGAACCACGGAAUAAGCAGGGAAGUGACAAGGUCACCGUGACCAUUCUGAAGCAGGGGGGCUCUUGGACUAUUAAAUGGCCGCCCCGGUAUAGUUCCCCGUACCCACAUUCUGUGGUUUGCUAUCAUCAUAAACAGGGCUUAGAAGGAGGUGAAUUCUCAGCUUUAUUCCUGGAAGUGGGAGCUUUGAGUGAGCAAAAUUCUAAGGCUUUUGGUCUAUCCCAAGAUUUCUGAAGACUCGCCUGGAUGAAACUGAAUUAGUUCCCCCACAGCUCUUGCGAAUAAUUAACCCGAACCCUAAAAUUCUGGCAGCUUCCCUGCGGAUUUUGAAACGCUUCUGACGAUUGGUCAAUAACUUUCCACGGCCAAGAAACGGGAGACACCAUUGGCUGGACGUAGCGGGCGAUACUCCGAAUGUUAGUCCUGUGGUUGCCAUAGCGACUGGGAGGCUGGGCGGUCCAGAUUCAAUACCCCUGACCUACAGGUAGGAGGCGGUUCCAGUUAGGGGCGGGUCCCUGAGGUCCUGAGGAGGAGCACACUGCGCAGCCCAUGGGACGCCCCCUGAGAUCCGCAGCCCCCGGGUGCGUACGGAAUCCCGGUGCCCCUUCCCGGAGGUGUGCCCUCAAUGUCCCCGCCCGCGGCUCGCCUUCUCCUCCCAGCUCCUGUGAGCGGCGUGGACGCCCGACCCCUUUGCCUCAGCCUUUGCAAGUGCACAAACGUUUGGGGGGUCCGGUGCCGGGUGGUGGGAGAGCCGCAGGUUGCUGAGCGCUAACCCCCGGUUCACCCACACCAUCGGCUGCCCCUCAGCAAAUGCCUUUCCUAUUUGGGGACUUGAUUUACCCGUAUGUAAGACGGAAGGGUGACACUGCAGUCUAAUGGUCACUAGUCGGCCGCUAGAGUGCCUUCCAGCCCUCUGACACACUUUCUCAGUCUAAAAAGCAUACCUAAGGGGGUUAUUAGUCUGAGAGUGCUUUGAAAAAUGUAAAAUGCUCCCAAGAUGUUUGAUAGCCUAUCACUAAAUCGUUAAAAAUCAACUGUAGUCAAAACUACUUAGGCAAAUUCCAUAAAAUUCCACAAAAAGUAACAGUAUAGCUGGCUUAGUAUAUGUACUAAUAUAUCUUGAUAUACCAAUGUACAUACCUAUCUAUAUACAUAUGAUAUAUUGAUAUGCCAAUAUAUACUUAGUACAUAUUGAUAUACCCUCUAUGGUAAUAUGUGUAAAAUACUAUAGUAUAAAUGCAUAAAUUAGCUAUAUAAUAACAUUUUUGUAAAAAGAGAUGGUAGAAUGAGAGCAUGCCUAUUGUUAUAAUUAUGUGAGUUAAAUAUAGAAUCUAGUUCUGGGAAGAUCAUAAACAAAUGAAUUAAUGAUAUACAAAAUAAGAUUGGGUAGUGAAAAGUGCUUUCAAAGAAAUAAAGUAGAGUAAGGGUCUGGAGACAGAUGGGCUGGUGCUUCUUAAGAAAGGGUGGUCAGGGAAGACAUUCCUAAGAAGGUUUGAGCAGAAGCCUAGAUGAUUUUAAUGACAGGAACGUUGUCCAUAGAGUGAGAACAGGUAGUCUCCAUGCCACAAGGGAGAUAUUACAGAAGCCAAGACGUCCCUGGGGGAAGAGGGUUAGUCUUUAGUCUUAAUAACUGCUUUCAAAUUCUUGAAGUAUAGUCAUAUAGAGUAUCUCACUGUGACUCACAAUAAGAAAGGCACUUACUUUACAUUAUAACCCAGAGCACACACAUACACAUAAAAAUUUCACAAACCUAAAUUUUGAAAAAUCACCAAUGAAGAAGAGAAAUAAGAUUUUUAUUCUGAGUGGUUCCAAGGUUAGAAGUCAGGUGGGCUAAAGGGGGGGGAGGGAAUUCACUUUGAUAUAGGAAGGAACUUUCUAGCAAUUAGAACUGCUCAACAGUGAUGCCUCAUUGAAUUUUCAAACUGCAUUCUGAAGAACCUUAGCAUUCUGUGAAAAUUCAAAACAGUUUCAAAUGUUUGCUUUGUAUUUUGGAACUGUAUGCAACAUCUAGCUUUUCUCAUGGUCACUCAAGUGUAGUAAAUGUCCAACUUUGCAUGUUAACAUUUAGUGUGUGCCACCUUAGACAUUUCCCUGGAGGUCAAUUGUGAGCAGAGGUCAGGCUUCAUGGGUUUGAAGCCUGAUUCCACCUUACUCCUCGUAGGAUCUUGGACAAGUCACCAAAAGCUUCCCUCUAAACUUCAGCCCUCUUGUGUGUAAAACAGUGGUGACACCUCACUCGAUUACUGUAAGGAUUGUGUGAAGUCUCUGUACAGGGGGCCAUAAGUGCUCAAUAAAUGAUAGCUAUUAUUUGAAGCUGUUAGUACAAAGUCUCUGUUUAUAUCAAAUCCUAACGUUAGAAGAGCCUCCUGAGGUAGGGCUGCAUCAACUGCUUCAGUG